GUUCUCCUGUGUACAUGUAGCUUAGUGGGAGGACUGUCAGUUAAUGCAAACCUAAAUAUAUGUUUUCAGGGCCACCUGCUGAGACAGCAAAAGCCAGUGUCUCUCUGUCAAACGAGAGCCUGAAUCCACAAGAACAGCAUCUACCCCAUCAACAUGAGAAACAUUUGGAGGAAGCAAAUUGUGGUGCUGAGCAAAACACUUCUGAUUCCUCAGAGCAUAAACUGCUGCGUUAAUCACUGGAAGCUCUACAUGUCUAUUCUAGAGAAGAAAGUAUCCUAUAAUUUACAUCAGCCAAUGAGGACUGUGAAGCACACUGGAAUUCUUUGAGAU